GGGCCCGUGGUCUAGUCUGGUUAUGUCGUCGCCUUGACAUGGCGAAUGUCUCCUGUUCAAAUCAGGACGGGCCCACCA
rnacentral:tRNA from 1 species